GAUGUAGAACGUAGCGAAAUGCGAUAAGUAAUGUGAAUUGCAGAUUUCAGUGAAUCAUCGAAUCUUUGAACGCACCUUGCGCCUUGUGGUAUUCCACAAGGCAUGCCCGUUUGAGUAUCAUUAAAUCAUCAACUCUAAAACCUUUGUGGUUUUUUUAGAGCUUGGUCUUGAGGGUUUUGCAGGCUUUUUUUUUUUCGAGUCUGCUCCCUUUAAAUGCAUUAGCGAGACUUCCCUAUGCUGAACCGUCUCUUUGACGUGAUAAUUAUCUGCGUCGAAUUUUGGUUCUCGUUGGGCUUGCUUCUAAUCGUCUGUUAAAGACAAAACGGAUUUGGGUGCAUAUAUGCGCCUUUUUCCAAAACCUUUUUUGAUCUCAAAUCGGGUAGGACUACCCGCUGAACUUAAGCAUAUCAAUAGCGGAGGA
rnacentral:misc_RNA from 1 species